rnacentral:misc_RNA from 1 species
AAGUCGUAACAAGGUAACCGUAGGUGAACCUGCGGUUGGAUCAUUAAUGUAAACAUUACAUUGCGUCUGCUGAAUGGUGUCAUAGCCACGAUGCAUUGAUGCACAGUCCAUCCCUUCGGGGAUUGGCACUGACCAACACCUAUGUGAACUGUUUCUGUCUCUGGCAGUGGGAGUGUAUGCUGCGUUACUGCUGGCUGCAUUCUGUCAACCGUCCUUGCUUGGGAUGGUCGUGGACAAGCUGCCAACAACUUUUAUUCUACACCUUUCUAUGCUGACACGUUUUACUGUGUAAAACAAAUCAUUCUAUAACUUUUGGCAACGGAUCUCUUGGCUCUC